GCACCUGUGGCAACAUGGCUGCCUCUUUGUCUGGUUUGCCUGCUGGUUGCCACAUGCUCCUUGCACUGAGCCCCCUGUCUGCCUCUCUACCUUGGGUGAACUGGUGUCUGGUCUGAUUUAAGGUUUGUUUGUUUGUUUCAAAGAUUAAUUCCUGAGAUGUGGAACUAUUUUAAAGGAUCCAUUUUAUCUCUUGUAUAGUGUCUGUUGGUCCUUUUUUUGUUUUUGUUUAACUGAACCAACUGGUUCAUUUGUUUUCUUUAAUACUUUUGUUAAUGCCUGUAUAGUCAGGUGGUUGCCAGCUGCUGGUCGAGGCUAGGCACUUCAGGUGGUUCCCUCCACUGUUUUGUAGUAGUAAGCGCACCGGGACACAAUAGUUUGCACUUGUUUGCCGUGUUUGCAGUCAGUUCACGAGUGGUGGGUAAGUUGCACUCCUGGAACACACCCCUUGAUAGGCUGCCUCCCCUCACUUCCCCCUACCAUUUUGCUAAUUUUAAAUCACCUUGGACUGGAAGUGACCUUUUUUUAAGAUAAAAUAAAUUUAUAUUGUAACAAGCUUUAAUAAAACUCCCUUAACUGACUAAUUUACAUCCUUACUGCAAUAACUAACCCCCUUCUUUUCACAGAUGCUCCCAUUUUAAAUUUAUGAAUAAAUUUACAUUUUCUUUUGAA